AGAGGUGCUUGUGAAAGCCAUGGUGUGAUGCUGCCAAAGCAUCCCCAUUGGGACCCCUCUGCACACCCAGAAAGGGCACCAGCACCUCUCAGAGAUCAGCAGGACACAAAAAGGAUUUUGUAGACUUUAUGAAUUUUGUCCCAGUUGUGGCAGAGCAAUCAUUGUUUUCAGUGAUCCCGAUUUCAUCUGUGUAUUUACACUGAGGUUUAGUUUCCUUUGCAGCUGGACGACUACCUUGCACUAAAUACAUAUUUUUGUCAUACUUUUACAUGGGUUGUCCAAGAAGGAGACCCAACAAUUUCCAAUGCAACACGAAGCUGCAUCAAGGCGCCGCUUUGCAAGAGCGCUGUCACGCUGCCCCUGCCCACACGCGACGCUGCCUGGAAGCACAGCGCGAUAAAACCUCUCCUCGCUCUUCCUGGAGCCCCAUUGCCCAGCCAGGGGCUGCAUCAGGCUGUGUCACAGCAAACCUUUUCCGUAGGUUGUCCAUGAAGGGAACACAACAAUUUCCAGCAGAGUUUGAAGCUGCAUCCAAAAUGCUCUGGGUUGACAGCUCUCAAGAUUGAUGUUCCCUGUCUGUACAGCCCAGACAGCUGCUGUGCAGCCUUCCCCGUGCUAUUUCGCCUUAAUCCUGACUUCAAGCGAGCUCCCCCACGGAUAAGAGCAGAAUUCAGUUCCCCUUGUCCGCCCCAGCCUCGGUUUCUCUGCUGAGUGGUGGCACAAGUCUGAUAUUACCAUUGUUUUGCCAAAAGCUGGACAAAAAUCCCUUCCAAGGAGACUUCUGAGGAACCACAGCAUGGGCAGCAGCACAGCACCAGCUUGGGGCUUGUGCAGCCACAGGUUGUGUCCGUGAGGGUACACACGCCAUAAAAUACGUUUUCUUAUAAAAACAGGAGAUAACACCAGUAUAGCGGCUGCAUUAAUCUAAUAUUCUCCUUCAUCACCAAAAGGGAAUUGCCUAAAUAGCCUGGGAGAGGCACGUUUUAUGAGUUCUUCUUACGGGCUAUCAAUCAAACGUCCCAAGAAAGGCACUGAUGCCCUUUUUGCUCGCCGGAGGGAAAUCAGCUUCCCCACGGCUUUGCUUUCAGCCCGUGUAGCCCCGCAGGAUAAUAGCUGUGUUUCGGACGUUUUUGGCCAAGUUUUCCUCCAACCAAUCUGGAGGAAAAACCCACACGGAAGAAACCUGUCAGAAGAGAGGGAAAAGAGCCCAAUUAGAGGCAGCGAUGUCUUAGCUCUCUGCCCUCUCUCCCCCGUGGACGAAGCAGAUGUAAAACAAUAGCUGGAGUUGUGGGAAAUUUAAUUGGGGACUUCAAAGGAAGCGGCGGCAGCUCCUUUGAUCUUUCAGUGUGUCUGAAUGUCGCGUUGCAACGGUGCCUGCUGGUCACGGCGGUGACCUCUUGUGUUAAUUAGUGUUUAUCUGAAAUCGAAUUAGCUCACAACUGGGAGAAAGCAGAGCGAAAAUCAGAGGAUAAUCAUAGAUUUGUGCGAUUCUCAAUUAGAGGUAAAAGCGGGUCUUUGGCUGCAGAAGUUGACAUUAAAAUAACUCCGGGAACAGUACAUUUUGGCUUUGUUUUCCUAAUGCUCUUCGUCCGCUGGUACUAUUUCUCUUCCUAAUGCCCCGCGCUGCUUUCAUCUUUGCUGAGUCUGCUGCUCCGCGGUGCUCGUUGGAACUUAAACCAUAAACCAACAGCGAACAAUGAUGCAUUAUUUAUAGCAGAGCGAGUGCUGUGAGGCUGACAAUGGGGCAAAGCUCCUCUUUCUUGUGGUCAGUAAUCCAUAAAUAAAUACAUCAUCUACGGAGGGGUGCGGGCCGGUGUGAUGGGUGGGAAUAGCCUGCGCUGUACAGUGAGGGCACCGAGGAUGACGUGGAAGCCAGCGCCUGGUUUUGGUGCAAAUUGGCCACUUCUGAGCACUGGUGUUAAAAAUCUUCACCUGUACAGAGGUGUGUGAGCUGCCCAGCCACCUUCCCAAUGCCCUUCUGUGGGGCUGAGUGGAAAGAGGAGGGCAGUGAGGGUUUGUGGUGCAGGGAGAUAAAUGCAUUAAAAUGUCAUGUUCUCUGUCUCAGUGUGAAAUAUCAGAGAAAGGCAGGAUUUUGGAGCUCAAAUUAUCUCAAGAGGCCAGUAUACAGUCCCAGUGCCUGAGCAGAGAGUAGCCGGAGAUGUAGAAGUCAAACAUCUGUCCACCAGGAACAUCUGCAGAGCUUCAGCGUGUCGGACUGGAAUGAAAUCCCAUUCUCGGGCCAGAUCCAGGUCCCAAAGUCUCCGAAGUGCUUUUAGCCAAACCUUCCCUUUUGCUUGGAAGCCAGAUUAGGGCACCGCCAGCUACAAGGUGGCCACUGCCUUGUGCUGAUGUGUCCUGCACCACAUCAGACAGCAAGGUGCUCCAAAAACACCCCGCUGGCACAGCCCCGCAUCCCUGGGUGCUGGCUGCUCCAUUUUCUGGGGUCAGCCACAAGAGGGUGGCAUGAUGAUGCUCACCACGCAGCCUCCCUGCUUGCCGCCGCUUUGCUCCUAGCGUGGCAUUUUACAGCCAGCUCUGGAGACGUAAUAAAACUUCGGAGCAGGUCUUUCCUUUUGGCACAUGAACACGUUUCCCACUACAAAGGAGCCUGAGGGGUGUUUCUGACGGCAGCGCUGACGGUGCAGCGGUCCUUGAUGUUACACGUGUUCCUUAUGCCCAAACCCAAGCUCGGUUAGCAGGUAGCUCAGCAGCGCAUAAAAUUCAGCCUAUUGAGGGAUCCGAACUUUUAUUGGCCCUGCUGACUGCUGUUAGGAGAAGCCCACAGGUGUUCUUUAUGAGCAAAUAUUAUUUUUCAUAGUCUUGUCUGUUUACAAGGCGGUGAUGUUCUGUGCAAUGCUUUGUAACAUGUUGGGAUGUUUCUCGCAGACCUUUAUUUGAUUAUAGCUUGCGGUGAACAGGCUGGUUAACAAAUAUACACGCACAAAAAAAGACUCAUGUGACAGCAAGGGAGACUAACUUGAAUGAAA